rnacentral:tRNA from 1 species
GGGGUGGGUAAGUAUAGUGGUAAGUAUUCCCGCCUGUCAUGCGGGUGACCCGGGUUCGUUCCCUGGCAACUGCGCCA